rnacentral:rRNA from 1 species
ACCAGACUCCUACGGGAGGCAGCAGUGGGGAAUAUUGGGCAAUGGGCGCAAGCCUGACCCAGCAACGCCGCGUGAAGGAAGAAGGCUUUCGGGUUGUAAACUUCUUUUCUGAGGGACGAUAGUGACGGUACCUCAGGAAUAAGCCACGGCUAACUACGUGCCAGCAGCCGCGGUAAUACGUAGGGGGCAAGCGUUAUCCGGAUUUACUGGGUGUAAAGGGAGCGUAGACGGCAGUGCAGGUCUGAAGUGAAAGCCCCGGGCUUAACCCGGGAAUUGCUUUGGAAACUGUACGGCUGGAGUGCUGGAGAGGUAAGCGGAAUUCCUAGUGUAGCGGUGAAAUGCGUAGAUAUUAGGAGGAACACCAGUGGCGAAGGCGGCUUACUGGACAGUAACUGACGUUGAGGCUCGAAAGCGUGGGGAGCAAACAGGAUUAGAUACCCUGGUAC